AUUGAACGCUGGCGGCAGGCCUAACACAUGCAAGUCGAGCGGUAGCACAGAGAGCUUGCUCUCGGGUGACGAGCGGCGGACGGGUGAGUAAUGUCUGGGAAACUGCCUGAUGGAGGGGGAUAACUACCGGAAACGGUAGCCAAUACCGCAUAACGUCGCAAGACCAAAGUGGGGGACCUUCGGGCCUCAUGCCAUCAGAUGUGCCCAGAUGGGAUUAGCUAGUAGGUGGGGUAACGGCUCACCUAGGCGACGAUCCCUAGCUGGUCUGAGAGGAUGACCAGCCACACUGGAACGGAGACACGGUCCAGACUCCUACGGGAGGCAGCAGUGGGGAAUAUUGCACAAUGGGCGCAAGCCUGAUGCAGCCAUGCCGCGUGUGUGAAGAAGGCCUUCGGGUUGUAAAGCACUUUCAGCGGGGAGGAAGGCGGUGAGGUUAAUAACCUCAUCGAUUGACGUUACCCGCAGAAGAAGCACCGGCUAACUCCGUGCCAGCCGCCGCUGUAAAAC
rnacentral:rRNA from 1 species